rnacentral:tRNA from 1 species
GAGGGUAUAACUCAGUGGUAGAGUGUGUGCUUGGCAUGCAUGAGGUCCUGGGUUCAAUCCUCAGUACCUCCA